AAUAGUGAAAAGAAAGAGUCAAAAGAAGAAGAAAGGAAAGGGUCACCGGCAACAAACAUUCAUAAUUUCACAGGUUCAAAUAUUAUAGCUCAGGAGAUAGAAUCAAAUGGGUUCAUAAGAUUAUCUUUCAGGAAUAAGAUAUGAGUGAAGUAUUUUGUUGAGAUGAGUCGUAGGAAUUGCACAUGUUAUAAGGGUUGGCGGCUGACGCGUUUUGGCAACCUUCUCCUCCUCAUCAUUUUUGCAUGUAGAUAAAUGUAUUGUAUACAGAGUGGUGAGAGAGUCUCACUACCGUUUAGAAUGUUGUGAAAUAUGUACUUGAUAAAUGUUGGAUUUUAAAAUUAUAUAAUACGUGUGGAUUGUUUA